rnacentral:rRNA from 1 species
GAUGAACGCUGGCGGCGUGCCUAAUACAUGCAAGUCGAGCGAACAGAUGAGGAGCUUGCUCCUCUGACGUUAGCGGCGGACGGGUGAGUAACACGUGGAUAACCUACAUAUAAGACUGGGAUAACUUCGGGAAACCGGAGCUAAUACCGGAUAAUAUAUUGAACCGCAUGGUUCAAUAGUGAAAGACGGUUUUGCUGUCACUUAUAGAUGGAUCCGCGCCGCAUUAGCUAGUUGGUAAGGUAACGGCUUACCAAGGCAACGAUGCGUAGCCGACCUGAGAGGGUGGUCGGCCCCACUGGGACUGGGACACGGUCCCGACUCCUACGGGAGGCAGCCGUAGGGAAUCUUCCGCAAUGGGCGGAAGCCUUACGGAGCAACGCCGCGUGAGUGAUGGAGGUCUUCGGAUCGUAAAACUCUGUUAUUAGGGAAGAACAAAUGUGUAAGUAACUAUGCACGUCUUGACGGUCCCUAAUCAGAAAGCCACGGCUAACUACGUGC